AACGAACGCUGGCGGCAUGCCUAACACAUGCAAGUCGAACGAGACCUUCGGGUGCUUUCGCGCACGAGUGCGUAACCCGACGGGACCUUCCCUUAGGGUUGGCAUAACUCUCCGAAAGGGAUACCAAUACCGGACAGUGUCUACGACCCCAUGAUUUAUCGACUUUGGAUGGGCCCGCGUUGGAUUAGCUAGUUGGUAGGGUAAAAGCCUACCACGGCGACGAUCCAUAGCUGGUCUGAGAGAAUGAUCAGCCACUCUGGGACUGAGACACGGCCCAGACUCCUACGGGAGGCAGCAGUGGGGAAUAGUGGACAAUCGGCGAAAGCCUGAUCCAGCAAUGACGCGUGAGUGAUGAAGGCAUUAGGGUUGUAAAGCUCUUGUACCCGUGAUGAUAAUGACAGUACCGGGAGAGUAAGCUCCGGCUAACUACGUG
rnacentral:rRNA from 1 species